AACGAACGCUGGCGGCAUGCCUAACACAUGCAAGUCGAACGAGACCUUCGGGUCUAGUGGCGCACGGGUGCGUAACGCGUGGGAAUCUGCCCUUCGGUUGGGAAUAACUGAGAGAAAUUUCAGCUAAUACCUUAUAAUGUCUUCGGACCAAAGAUUUAUCGCCGAGGGAUGAGCCCGCGUAGGAUUAGGUAGUUGGGGGGGUAAUGGCCUACCAAGCCGACGAUCCUUAGCUGGUCUGAGAGGAUGAUCAGCCACACUGGGACUGAGACACGGCCCAGACUCCUACGGGAGGCAGCAGUGGGGAAUAUUGGACAAUGGGCGAAAGCCUGAUCCAGCAAUGCCGCGUGAGUGAUGAAGGCCUCAGGGUUGUAAAGCUCUUUUACCCGGGAUGAUAAUGACAGUACCGGGAGAAUAAGCUCCGGCUAACUCCGUGCCAGCAGCCGCCGUAA
rnacentral:rRNA from 1 species